CUUAUUGAUCACUCACAAUCUCCAUGCACACUUCACCAUACCUAAAAUAUGCCACACACAUCUCAAAGUGGUAUGCUAAAAAAUAAACUAAAGGAUCUAUAUACAUCAGGUACCAUGGUGAUCUCAAGUCAAAGGAUCAUAUGCACCACUCCCACUGGAGAAUCAUCUAUCGACAUGCUGUAAGGCUCCAUCAGAUGUUCUUCUUGCAGGUC
rnacentral:lncRNA from 1 species